GAUACUUCAAUCAACUGUCGCAAUUUUCAAUUAUUGUUUGUGACAUGCUUAAACGACUUCUCACACUACAAACACGAUCCCUUUUGACAAAUCUUUAAACAUUUCAUCGCAAAAUCCAUACAAUUCCAUUUAAUAUUUUACCAUUCAGACUCUAUCUUCGUUAUUUCGUAUUUUCAAAUGAUAAUUUCACGUGUCUUGAAUAUUGGGCGCCAUAACAGCUUUCAAUUUUCAAUUUUCUCUUAACAAAAAACUGAAAAAAAAAAAAAUAUAUUCGUGCAAAAGCGAGCCUCCAGGGAAUCGAAGAAACACUUUCAUUAUACCCCUUCCUCUUCCAUAUGCUCGUUGUCGUCUUCGUCUCUUUUAAACGUAAUUGAUUUCGUUCUAUCAUGAAAACAACACUCCCACACUAUACCGCCAAGAUAUCGUUUUAGUCAUUUGGAACGCAAAGGACAGAAAAACGAACGAACGAAAAACCCCUUUCAAAAACAAUUCCCAAUUUAUGCAAAAUAUAUAUAUCCUGAUUUUUAGGUUUGAUGUUAGGAAAUAAUCGCACGUGCUCUAUCAGAGUCGCAAGAAAAGCAACAACAAAAAAAGCCUUUAGCAUCAAUGUCGUUUUAGAGUCGUCCUUCGGCUUCGGCUGUAAUGCGAAAAAGGCUUUCGUCUUUGUCACAUACAUUUAAAAAAGGCUUUUGAACCUGGAAUAUCUGGAAUCCACUUCUCUAGACCUAAACGCAUAACAUGUUAACUGAAAACGAUUGAAAUACCAACCACCGAAAACAACAACUGGGACUGAAGACGAUGAUGAUGAUGACGCGAUGACAGAGCGAAACGCAGAAAGGACACACAAAUCGAUGAUGGAACGUAAGAUAUUUCGAAGAGAAGAGAUUAUUUGAACUGAACUGAUGUGCUUGCACGAAUUUGUGUGCGUGAUUUAGUUUGAACAUUCUUCUUAAAGGCUCUUUUCUUUAUGAUACCCGUUCCGUUUAGUUUUUGGGUGCAAAACAAUUCCAACCGAUAUGUGGUGGUGGCGGGAGCCUUAAAAUAAAGAAAAACACUCUACCCAAAAGCUGAUGAUGUUGAUGGGUUGAGGGACCAUUUAAGUGAACCAAGCUCAUAGGGUAUAUGGAAUCAGUUUGGAAUCUGGAAUGUAUAAAAACAACAGAAACCAUUUAUAUUUAUUUUCUGUUAGAUUUUGCAAGAUAACUUAUUUGACUUUCUCCGUGGAAUAGUGAACGUUAUUGAUCAUUAUUUUUAAGCGAAGGUGGCUUUGGUAUCGAUACUAUGAAAGGCGUAAUACAAGAUAUUAGUUUCAUAUUUAUAAUCUGAUGCCAAUUUUACCCGUACUAUAGUGAUAAUUCGGAAUGGGUCCGAAGUUAUCCUAGAAAGAAAUUGAAUAGUCCUUAAGGAAAAUCCACGAAAUGGUAUAUAGACUAUAGUCUACAUCAAAAACUAUAAGAUAAAAAAUAUUGGAUACGUUAGAAGAAGAAAAAAUUCAAAUUAUAUCUUUGGUGGACGUUGUAACCGUAUUUAAUCUUUUUUUUUCUGAGAGAUGGACGACUGAUUCAGAAUUCUUUUUUUUUUUUCGUGAACAGAAAGUCCUUCAAAGGAAAACAAAACAUGUAGUCUUCUCUCCUCUUACCACACAAAAUAAAAAAAAGCCACAAGCUACAAUACUGUUGAACUUAAUUUUAAAUUCAACCAUUUUUACCUUUUUUUUGUACACCAUCAUGUUCCACUUGGAACAUUUGAG